GACGUAGGGCGCGAGCGUUGUCCGGAUUUAUUGGGCGUAAAGAGCUCGUAGGCGGUUUGUUGCGUCGGCUGUGAAAACCUGAGGCUCAACCUCAGGCCUGCAGUCGAUACGAGCAGACUAGAGUGUUGCAGGGGAGACUGGAAUUCCUGGUGUAGCGGUGAAAUGCGCAGAUAUCAGGAGGAACACCGAUGGCGAAGGCAGGUCUCUGGGCAUUAACUGACGCUGAGGAGCGAAAGCAUGGGGGAGCGAACAGG
rnacentral:rRNA from 1 species